rnacentral:rRNA from 1 species
UACAGAGGAGCCAAGCGUUGUCCGGAUUGACUGGGCGUAAAGCGCACGCAGGCGGUUUGGCGCGUGGGGUGUGAAAUCUGGCCGCUUAACGGCCAGGCGCCAUCCCAUACGGCUAGACUGGAGUGAUGCAGAGGUCGGUGGAAUUGCCGGUGUAGUGGUGAAAUGCGCAGAUAUCGGGAGGAACACCAAUGGCGAAGGCAGCUCGCUGGGACGGUACUGACGCUGAGACGCGAAAGCGUGGGGAGCAAACAGG